rnacentral:rRNA from 1 species
AUGCAGGCUGCUUGCCGCCGGUCGAAGUUCACGGAGCUCACCGCGACAAAUCUCAAUAUCCUCUGCAAGGCGCUUGAGCUGCGCGUUCCGCGUCACGGGAACAUCAUCCCCGGCAUAUCGUGCACGGUGCUCCGGUGCAGAUCCGGCGUGACGAGGACUAUUCCUAGCUUGUUGUCCUCGACGAAAGCGACAUGCCUGCUCUUCCUAGGAAGGGACUAUGGCGGCAAGAUAGCGGUCGCUCAGGAGCUCGCGAGGCUCGUGUUUGGCUCAUACACCGAGUUCACCGCCGUCCAGCUUCAGGGUAGCCCUAACAUUCGCACACAUAACGGUAUGCUCGCCCUCAAGAGGCAGAGAUCACCGGACAAUGACGGUGAGCUCGGAGCGAGGCUGUUCGAAGCGAUCGCGGAGAACCCUCACCGCGUUAUAUUGAUGGACGGCGUCGACCGAAUGGAUCGCGAUUCGGAGAUGCGCAUCAUGAGGGGAGGAAUGGUGAGGGGAGGCAACGGUGACGUGGUCAGCCUGGAGGAUGCCAUCAUAGUGCUGAGCGCCUCUGACUCGAGGGGGUGCGUGGCUUCACCUUCCUCCCCACGGGCGAAACGACGGUUUGGUGGACAGAACCAUGAGAAAGGUGAUGACGGCACGGAGAUGAAGCUUCGUCAUGGCUGCGAUUUGAGUGUUUGUGCAGUGGUUGAGGAAGAGGAGGAGAAAGAUAGUUUGGCUGAUGACGAGGGGGUCCAGAAUGUCGUGGAUGGUGUUUUCCUUUUUAAUUAG